GUAUAUCCUUUCUGUGGAUGCAGUUGGAAUUAUGCUGCUGAGUUAGUGGACAUUUAUAAUGUCAGGUCUUGAAUUAAAAUCAUUUUGUUUGUCAUAGAUUCUGGUACUGAGAUGAUCGCUUAUGUCAAUUUGAGAUAUAAGUCUACAAAUGAGGGUGAACAGUGUCUGACGCUUUUUUAAUUUAUAGUUCGGAAGGAUAUAUUAAUAGAACCCACUCAGAAAGUGUGGAUUGUUAAUGAAAAAAUACAUCAUCAAUAUAUCUAAAUGUGAAAUCUAAUGAUCAGGUUUCUUUGAAUUUAUUGUUUUACCAGUUUCUGAAGGACCUCCAAAUCGUAGGAAAUAAGAAGAUGUCGGCAAGGAGAGGUCCACAGUUAGUUCCCACUCGAAAUAAAGCCAACAGCAGUAUGUAUAUCGCAGUUCAAAAGUCUUCAUAAAUCGACAAAGAGAAAACAAAUCCGGGUUACAAACUAAAACCGAAGGAAACCCAUGUUACUAGUUAAUUUGACUUUGGAAAUUUUCCUUCUACUGUCACAGUGGGUUAUACUGGGCUUUAUUAUUUUCAAAGAUUACUAAAAUGCAUGGUAAUACAAAGACAUAGUUUCGAAGCAUUUUUCCCGAACAUAGAUCUUUUAACAUCAUGAAAAUGGGCAUAUAUUUGCAGUGAAUUUAUAUCUUUACAGUCAGCA
rnacentral:lncRNA from 1 species